GGGGAUUUAGCUCAGUGGUAGAGCAUUUGCCUAGCAAGCGCAAGGCCCUGGGUUCAGUCCCCAGCUCCG
rfam:Rattus norvegicus chromosome 10, whole genome shotgun sequence.